GUGUCAGCAGCCGCGGUAAGACAGAGGAUGCAAGCGUUAUCCGGAAUGAUUGGGCGUAAAGCGUCUGUAGGUGGCUUUCAAAGUCUCCUGUCAAAGAUCAGGGCUUAACCCUGGACCGGCAGGAGAAACUUGAAGGCUAGAGUUUGGUAGGGGCAGAGGGAAUUCCCGGUGGAGCGGUGAAAUGCGUAGAGAUCGGGAGGAACACCAAAGGCGAAAGCACUCUGCUGGGCCACAACUGACACUGAGAGACGAAAGCGAGGGGAGCAAAAGGGAUUAGAUACCCCUGUAGUCC
rnacentral:rRNA from 1 species